CCUACGGGUGGCAGCAGUGGGGAAUAUUGGACAAUGGGGGGAACCCUGAUCCAACCAUGCCGCGUGUGUGAAGAAGGCCCUCGGGUUGUAAAGCACUUUCAGUGAGGAAGAACGCCUGGUGGUUAAUACCCAUCAGGAAAGACAUCACUCACAGAAGAAGCACCGGCUAACUCCGUGCCAGCAGCCGCGGUAAUACGGAGGGUGCGAGCGUUAAUCGGAAUUACUGGGCGUAAAGCGCGCGUAGGUGGCUUGAUAAGCCGGUUGUGAAAGCCCCGGGCUCAACCUGGGAACGGCAUCCGGAACUGUCAAGCUAGAGUGCAGGAGAGGAAGGUAGAAUUCCCGGUGUAGCGGUGAAAUGCGUAGAGAUCGGGAGGAAUACCAGUGGCGAAGGUGGCCUUCUGGACUGACACUGACACUGAGGUGCGAAAGCGUGGGUAGCAAACAGGAUUAGAUACCCGGGUAGUC
rnacentral:rRNA from 1 species